AGGUUAAGUGAAUAAGGGCGCACGGUGGAUGCCUUGGCACUAGGAGCCGAUGAAGGACGGGACUAACACCGAUAUGCUUUGGGGAGCUGUAAGUAAGCUAUGAUCCAGAGAUUUCCGAAUGGGGGAACCCAGCAUCUUUUAUAGGAUGUUACGUCUGCGUGAAUACAUAGCGCAGUCGAGGUAGACGCAGAGAACUGAAACAUCUAAGUACCUGCAGGAAGAGAAAGAAAAUUCGAUUCCCUGAGUAGCGGCGAGCGAAACGGGAAAAGCCCAAACCAACAAGCUUGCUUGUUGGGGUUGUAGGACUCCGAUAUGGUAGUCUAUUCAGAUAGUCGAAAUACUUGGAAAAGUAUGUCAAAGAGGGUAAAAACCCCGUAGGCGAAAUUUGGAUAACACCUAGGAGGAUCCUGAGUACGGCGGAACACGAGGAAUUCCG
rnacentral:rRNA from 1 species